GGACGAGCCAACCACAGGGAACUCAGUGCUCGGAGACGAUGGAAGUACUCGGCAAUCGCCAGGAAACACCUCGCUGCUUGGCGGGUUGUCAAUAUCUGAUGCAGCCGAUGAAGGGUUUGGUGCCUCAGAUUAUCUGCCUGGUUUGAGUACCUUGAUGAGGUCUGAAGGCCGGAAAUCUCCCAUCCACAUGAAGCAACGCUCGGCAGGAGUCUUCCACAUGCCAGAAACAAGAUGGAAGACGUCGGAUUUGGCAACCAUGCCUUUGAGGCUCAUCACCUCAUCAUAGUGAGCUAAGCAGUUGUCCACAAAGAGCCUAAGCUCGUUUUCAGGUAGAUGUUCCUGCACAGCUGCUCGAAGCUCACAUGUGAGACGAUGGUGCUCCUCCAGCCAUCUGGUAUACUCAAUGUCGAAUACCGCAGCAUCUACCAAGUCCAAAAACGAAAUGAAGGAUUGGUUCAUUGUUUUUUACGCAGAGAAAUGUAAAAACUAAAUUAAAAAACAAAACAAAACAAAAGAGAGAGAAUAUACCUGAGCUAAUAUUGCUGAUACCUACAGGAAGGCCUUGAUCUCCACCUAGAAGACCUCCUCCACCGAAGAAUAGACCCUAAUUAAGCCAAAAAAAAGGUUCAGAUCUUGAGAAGAUCUUUUGAUGAUAUUUGAUAUAUACCUAGCUAAUAGAAACUUACUUGAGCUCUGGCUCUUUGUAGCUCUUGUUCCAGUUGGGUUAGUCUAAUUCUACUUGACUCUA